rnacentral:rRNA from 1 species
AGUGAACGCUGGCGGUAGGCCUAACACAUGCAAGUCGAACGGCAGCACAGUAAGAGCUUGCUCUUACGGGUGGCGAGUGGCGGGCGGGUGAGGAAUACAUCAGAAUCUACUUUUUCGGGGGGGAUAACGGAGGGAAACUUACGCUAAUACCGCAUACGACCUACGGGUGAAAGCAGGGGAUCUUCGCACCUUGCGCGAUUGAAUGAGCCGAUGGCGGGUUAGCUAAUUGGCGUGGUAAAGGCCCACCAAGGCGACGAUCCGUAGCUGGUCUGAGGGGAUUAUCAGCCACACUGGAACUUAGACACGGUCCAGACUCCUAAGGGAGGGAGCAGUGGGGAAUAUUGGACAAUGGGCGCAAGCCUGAUCCAGCCAUACCGCGUGGGUGAAGAAAGCCUUUGGGUUGUAAAGCCCUUUUUUUGGGAAAGAAAAGCAGCAGGUUAAUACCCCGCUGUUCUGACGGUACCCAAAGAAUAAGCACCGGCUAACUUCGUG